UCCCUGGAGGACUAGUGGUUAGGCCACAGUGCUCUCACUGCUGUGGGCCGGGUUCGAUUCCUGGCCAGGGAA
rnacentral:tRNA from 1 species